rnacentral:rRNA from 1 species
CCUACGGGAGGCAGCAGUGGGGAAUAUUGCGCAAUGGGGGCAACCCUGACGCAGCAACGCCGCGUGAAGGAAGAAGGCCUUCGGGUUGUAAACUUCUUUGAUCGGGGACGAAACUGACGGUACCCGAGGAACAAGCCACGGCUAACUACGUGCCAGCAGCCGCGGUAAU